CAGCAGCCGCGGUAAUACGUAGGGUGCGAGCGUUAAUCGGAAUUACUGGGCGUAAAGCGGGCGCAGACGGUUACUUAAGCAGGAUGUGAAAUCCCCGGGCUCAACCUGGGAACUGCGUUCUGAACUGGGUAACUAGAGUGUGUCAGAGGGAGGUAGAAUUCCACGUGUAGCAGUGAAAUGCGUAGAGAUGUGGAGGAAUACCGAUGGCGAAGGCAGCCUCCUGGGAUAACACUGACGUUCAUGCCCGAAAGCGUGGGUAGCAAACAGGAUUAGAUACCCCCGUAGUCCCUGUCUCUUAUAC
rnacentral:rRNA from 1 species